GAGUAAUAUCUGGGAAUCUACCCAAAAGAGGGGGAUAACUACUAGAAAUGGUAGCUAAUACCGCAUAAAGUUGAGAAACCAAAGUGGGGGACCUUUUAGGCCUCAUGCUUUUGGAUGAGCCCAGACGAGAUUAGCUUGUUGGUAAGGUAAAAGCUUACCAAGGCUUCGAUCUCUAGCUGGUCUGAGAGGAUAACCAGCCACACUGGAACUGAGACACGGUCCAGACUCCUACGGGAGGCAGCAGUGGGGAAUAUUGCACAAUGGGCGAAAGCCUGAUGCAGCUAUGCCGCGUGUAUGAAGAAGGCCUUAGGGUUGUAAAGUAC
rnacentral:rRNA from 1 species